UACUACUUACAAGGAUGUUAAGUUUGCCUUCAAAAAGUGAUGAGACCUUAUUUAUAAGCUCCUCUCUUUGGGUUUUAGACACCACAUCACAGACUGAGCCAGUUACUUGGAAACCCUUCUUCUCCCACUGACUCAGGCAGUCAUUAAGGUCAGCUUCAUUUCGGGAACAAGUAUGCACAAUUGCACCCAGCCCUGCCAAUUCCUCCACUAUAGCAUACCUAAAUAAACACUUCACUAAUUUAGCAUAGAAUUGUAAAAAAUAAUUCAAACCCAUAAUUCUGAAACAGAAAAAAACAAGGGACAAUUGGACGGAUAAAGAGAAUAUUGUAUUGCGUGUUUAAGAAAAAUUGAAACUAAAAAAAAGAUUAACGUUCUUAAUUAUCCAACUUUAGAGAAGCUAACCCAAUUCCUUUGGUUCCACCAGUGACAAGAGCUGUCAUUCCACGAAGAGACCAUCUCCUCGCUCUGCUAUUCAUCUCUAUCUGCUCUCUAUUCUCCCUGUCUGCUCUCUGCAAAUACUUAGUGGUUUAUAUUUUAUAUUUCUAAUCGAUAAUGAUUAUAAGUCUUAUUUUGGUGGCCAGGGAAAAGUAAGCGUGCCAGCCGCCUACAAAUAGUUUCUCCUCAGCAACUUGCAACUUUUUCUUGUUUUUUUGGAAACUAGCAACUUGCAACUUUCAACUUUUUGUUUGCUUGUUUUGAUAUGGCAAAGUAUGCAAAUUGAUUGUUCUUCAAUUUGAAUUUGACUAAAUUAUAUUUCAUCCAAUCGUACAAUGUCAUUCAAUUACACACAACCUCCAAUCCAAUCGUUACAACCUCCAAUCCAAUCGUUACAAGUACAAUAAUUGAGGAUAAAUUUCAGAUUCAUAUUUCACACAACACGUUUGGAAUUCGAUUGCAUGCGUUGAUGAAUCACACAAUGGUGGCCAAAGAGAAGUUGAAAUGUCACCAAGUGCUUAUCUUUUAAAAGAUUAAUAAAAUACAACCUCUGAUUUGGUACUAAUGUCAUACAAUCGUUAGUCAAUCUGUCAAAUAAGUCAUUAGGUGAUGAUGUGACAAGUGCAGCUCACAUUUUGUUAACUUUUGAGUCCAAAUUUGUGCCCCAUGGUUAAAGCAAAUUAAAAGAAAAAAUAAUAAUUAUUAAUAAUGUAAAAAUUAGAAAUCAUUUUUUUUUUAAAGGAGUACACUAUUCAUUAAUAACUAGAACAACGUACAAAUAGGGAAAAUGUGCUAACAGAGGGCCUAUAUAAAAACCUUACCGGUAAGUAACCCAAAUAAUGUAAAAAGAGUAUGUCUCGCAUAAAAUAAUAAGGACUAAAUUCCAAACAACCAAAUGUUAACUGUGAACACCAUCCUCCAACAAGAGAUCAAAAAUUAAAUCAGGAGGUCCCUCAAACCACGAAACCGGAUGAUCCAAAGUUAAAUUGAAUCUAGCUAGUCGGUGAGCCACCGAGUUUGCAUUUCAUCGUACAAAGCCUGCUUUCCACGAUUUAAAGGACUGCAUAAUCCUCCUGGUGUCUUCCAAUAAUAACGCAAACGGUACAUGGUUAGCCAUUGCAUUGUUUUGGAUUGCAGCAACUACUAGCAGCGCAUCACCUUCCAAUAUAACCUGGUCAGCACGCCACUAAAGUGCAAAAACAGCAGCUUCCCGUGCUGCAGCAACUUCCGCCUGCAUCGAAUCUGGCCUUGAGCUUCAUUACAAACCUUAAUAGCAUGAAUCUGGCCUUGAGCUUCCCAAUCAUCCAACAAAGCCGAGAGGCCUUCUGCACAUAUUACAAACAAGAACGGAGACAAUGGAUCCCCUUGCCGAAUCCCUCGUUUUGGGUGUACGAAUCCCACAGGAUCCCCAUUAAACUUGAAAGAAUAAGUCACAGUAGUAACACACAUCAUAAUCCAAUUAAUCCAUUCCUCAGCAAACCCCAAAUGUCUCAUCAUUUGCUCAAGGGAAGACCAUUCAAUACGAUCAUAUGCUUUAUUGAUAUCUAGCUUCAAAGCCAUCACACCCUUCCAACCGCUAUUCUUUGUUUUCAUAGCAUGAACAAUUUCCGAAGCCACCAAACAAUUAUUGGAAAUUAACUGACCCGAGAUGAACCCACUUUGGGAAGGCGAAAUAAUGUCAGGUAACACCAACUUCAACCUGUUCAUGAGAACUUUGGAGCAUAUCUAUAUAUAACAUUACAUAAACUGAUUGAGCGAAGUUGAGACAUGAAAGUAGGGUCCAUUUUCUUAGGAAUAAGAGUAACGUGCGUAAAAUUAAUUUUGCUCAUCAUACUUCCUGAAGAAAGGAGAGAACGAACCCCCUCAUAGAUGUCAUGACCAACGAUAGGCCAAUGUUUUUGGUAGAAUCCCAGAGUCAUCCCAUCUGGUCCAGGCGCCUUAAUGGGGUGCAUUUGAAAAAGAGCAUUCUUGUUCUCGUCAUCAGAAAACGGUACCAAGAACCCUUGAUUCAUCUCAGCCAUCACCUUUGGAGAAACCGUGCGAAGAACAGCAGACGCAUCAACCUGACCCGUGGAAUCAAACAACUUCUGAAAAUAAUUAACUAUUACCGCAGCCAUGCCAUCCUUGCUUUCCUGCCACUGCCCAUCGUCAUCAAACAAACCAUACAAACCAUUACUUCGCAACCGCCUAGAAGCCUUUUGAUGAAAAAAUCUUGUGUUUUGCAAUAUCAUUUAAUAUUUUAUCUAAAAAUUAAAGAAAAAAAAGAAAGAAAAUUUGAAACGCAGAUCUUCAUCUUCCUGUCCACCCAAUGCAGGUGACGAUCCCCCUCCCUGCAAUCAUCAAACCAAAAAGCUCCGCCGAAAUCAAACAAUCACAAUCAUCAAACCACCACCACCGUCAGAUUCCCAUGUGACCAUGAUAAUUAAGCAGUGCGAUUAUUUCAUUUAGCUUUACAUUAUUACCUGUUUAAUCUUUUACAAACAUAUUAAUUUCUUAUCCUCUAAUUGGGCAAUUUACUGUUAAAAAGUUAUGUCCUUACUGGCUGUUUUAGCCAAGGUUCUAAAAAACGCUAGGCGCUAGUCGGGCGACGAGCCAGUGCCUAGGCGGCUUAGGUGGAUUUAGGUAAAUUUCUUAUAUAUCUUGUAGAUAAGUGCAUAUUGACACAUAAAAAAUUAUAUUUGUAUGAAAUUCAUGGAUAAGAUAAUAAAAGAAUGAUAAAAUAUAAAAAGAAUAUUUAGUUUUUAAAUAAUUAGUAUUUAAUUUUUAAAUAAUAAAUAUUUAAAAACCCCACCAAGUGGGUUUGGUAGUUCAUAAACAUUUAAAAAUCAAAUGGUCGUUCAUAAAAUCCACGUGUGAGAGGUUUGACACCUCCCUUCCACCUCCACUUUCUCACAUCAGGUAGGAUUCAAAAGGUGGAGCUAGUUAUGCCUUGGAAAGCGAUCUCACAUUAUUUUUUUUGGGUUUUCUUUUCCUCUUCUGCCUUGGAAAGAGGAAAGCCCCAUUAAUGUUUUGAAAUUUUUUACUUCUUCUCUUCUUCUCCUUCUCUGAUUACUCUAUUUUUCCAUUUCCUCUUCUUCUGUUGCUCUGUAAAUUUCCACAGUAGCCUUUCUCGCUUCUUCUCCGAGCUUCUUUCUGCUUCCAAGGCGCUCACUCUGUCUCUCUCUCUUCUAGCUGCCAAGUAACUUCCAGUUCUGCCCCCAUCAACUCUAUUAAUUCCACCAUGAAACUUUGCACAUUCUGCAACUCCAUCCAAAAUCCAUCUCUAAAGUUCCAAUCUUUUCUCUUAAUCUUCUCAGCUCCACCACUCAUUCUACCCCUCAGAACCCAACAAAUUACAUAUGGGUCCCUCCCAAAGUCCUCAAACAAGCUUCCUUUCCACCACAAUGUCACCCUCACAGUCACCGUCGCAGUCGGAACACCGCCGCAGAAUGUUUCGAUGGUCAUCGACCCCAGAAGCGAGCUUUCCUGGCUUCACAGCAACAAAACCCGGGACUAUAACAAGACAUUCGAUCCGACCCAAUCCACCUCCUACUCCCCCGUCCCAUGCUUCUCAUCCACUUGCACGAACCGGACAAACCUUGCCAAUUUAUGAAACGAUUUUGAGUUAAUCGCGGCGAAGCACCGCCGCCUAGCGCCCAGGCACCGCCUAGGCGGCCGCCUCAACCGUUUUUUAGAACACUGAUUUUAGCUCACUCCUCUUUUGUUUUGCAGGUUUACAAAUAGACAAUCAAAAUGGUAGAUGGAAUGAGAUUGAAUUAGUUUUGAGGCUAGAAGUUCAAUUAAUUUUUAUUUUGGACUCGUCGAGAAGUAUGAUUUUCGUUUUUGAAUCACUUGAUUUCGUUGAGUAUUAAAGAAGGUAUGAACGUUUAAAGUUUACCCAGUUUCCAGCGAGUUUUUCAGUUUUCCCUCGGACCAGUCAACUUUGAGACUAUUUUCCGGCCAUCUCUAGAAAUCAUUGGGCUUCCAAAUAGGUAUAAUUUUAUUCUACACUUUCUUAUCUUCAUUUUGAUAUAUUAUAGGUUGAAUUUGGCUAAGAAACGAUUGAGUUACGAAGUUUUCAAAAUUGCCCAAACUUCCGGCUAAAAGCUCUGGGACACUUAAUUGAGUUUUUAACGGAAUGAUCAAAAUGAUGGAUGGUGGACAAUCUCAGGGAUCACUUUUAUUGAUUUGGAAUGUUAUGAACCAAAGUGAUAAGUUAUACAAAUCACAGAGACCAUUUUAGCUAUUUAGCCAGUAGAAAAAUAAUUCAAAUCCAUAAUUCAUCCACGGACGUUUGCAACUUUUUGUUUGCUUGUUAUCAUGUCACAAACGACGCAAAAUGAUUGUCCUUGAAUUUGAAUUUGGGUAACCUUAAAUUUUCGUCCAAUUUCAAUAUUAUACCUCUCUCAAUUUUUAUAUACCAGCCGUCAAAUUUGAUUAAGUGAUAAAAUGAAAAGUUUGGAACUUAUAUUUUACUGAUUUGGAGUCCAAAUUUAUGCCACAAGUUAGAACAAAUUAAAAAAAAAGUUUUAUUAUUAAUAAUGUAUAAAUUAGAAAAUCAUCUGCAAGAUCAUUUAAUAUUUUAUUUAAAAUUUAAAAAAAAACAAACGAAGGAUUUUUAUCACAAAUGGUCCAUGAAAUUGAUCCCUCAAUCAUGAUGGUCUCUAAAAUUGAAAAUCGAUCAAUGUAAUCACUGAAUAUUAGUCCCGCAAAUCAAUGUCUUUCUGUCACUGUUCCGUCCAAACUAGCGUUAAGAGAUUUUUUGGAAUUAGAUAAGAUAUAUAUUUUUUCCCUGAUCUCAAGCAUUGUCUCUUCUACUACAUAUGCAUACAUAUAGAACUAUUUCCAAGUCAUGCUCCUUGGAAGAGCAAGCCAUUGAUGGUCACCUCGCCGUCGACGAUAAUAGUCUGCCCAGUAAUGUAAGAGGAUGCAGGUAGGCAUAGAAAUGCUACCAAGGAGGACAACCUCUGGCUUUCCAGGACGUCCUAAAGGUCACCGAGAGUUUAUCAUCUCCAAUUUCUUUUCAUUUCCGAGAAACUGCGUUUAUAGAAGAGAGAAUUGAUGUGUAGGACACAUAUAUUACAAGCGCUUCAUUAACAUAAUAAAUAAGGCUAGAAGUAUGAUCUAAACUCGCUGUAAACUUUUCAUCAAAAAACUUGUUGUAAACAAGUCAGGUCUAAAAUUGAACCUAUACAUGAAUAAACAAAAGAUAUAUUGAACGCGAUUUAAGAUGUUUAGAAUAACGGUAGCCGGCUAUCUAGGCAGCUUUGGAGGUGGUUAGCAUGUCAAUUAUGUAUCUCUAUGUCUUUUUCAGAUUCUCUGGUUGCUUUUUGGGAUGCCUACGUAAGCCCUUUUCCUAACAACUGCACAAUCUAUGGAUUUUUUCGAAUCUUUAUACUAUUUUGACUAUUUGGAAAUCUCAAAAUAGGUUUAUUUUUUAGGGUCACCCAAUCUAUUUUCAUCGGCUUUGCAUGUCUAUCAAUUUUGGGAUCGUUCAUGGUUGGAAGUUUAUUCCUACUUAUUCUCAAGGCACUAGUCUAUCCUUGGCAAGGCUUCAACUAGUCAUCCUGUGCUUUGGUCUUUCCUUGGAUUAAACUUAAUACAGAUGGUUUGUCCAAAGGAAAUUCCAGUCCUACUCCUUGUGGAGGAGUUUUCAAAGAUUGCCAUUGCACAACCCGUCUCGAUUUAUUUUACGGGUUUUACGGAACGGAAGGUUAGUCUCAUAAUUUCACUUUGGUUUUAAAAAUGUGUUUGAAAAGGGUUUCUUUUGGACCUUAAAUGGUGUGCCCAAGGGGGCCCACCCCUAAUUUUCUGUCCCUGAUUCCCCUUUCCCCCGCCUGCCACGUGGCAAACCCCUACCCACUUCAUUUCUCAUUCUCUUCUCCCCGAGCACUCACUCUCUCAGCUCUAUAUCACUCUCUUUCACACACUCAACCUCUCUCCCUCAUCCCGAUUCACUCACACAUCCACACACCCAAAUCAAGGAAAGCAACGGCGACGGCGACACCAUCACAUCCACCGUGGUAGCACUCUCCCUCAUAUCUGUGAAGAAACCGGACACCUAGAGGGCACCCAAACCAAGACUUCGGCGAGCCCAGUGGGUUUCGAGCAAUGAAUCGGCCACCUUCGGCCAUUCCACGAUGAUUAGGAGGUAACCAAUCUUUCCUUUUUGUCUCUAUUUCAUUUUGGUACCUAGAUCGAGUCUUAGGUGUGAGCAGCGACGUCGACCGAAACUCAAGAGGCUCCGGCUUCCUUCCCCAGCGAGAAUAGGUAGCCAAGGCCCUUGGGUCGAGGAAACUAAGGCCUUUGGCCCGCUAAAGCUUUAGCCCAAGACCAAAGGGUUUCAGCCUGUGAGCUUUAGACCCAAACCCUUUUUAUUUAUAUUUAUUUUGUUUUCUUUUAAAAACCCAAAAACAAUCGGGCUAGGUUUCAAGCCCAACCCAGCCCAUUUAAAAACCCCUUAACCUUUUUAGACCCUUGCCUUAGGGCCGUUUGAGAUUAGGUCUUUGGGCCUUUGCAUCCGAGCCCAAACCCUUUGAAGCAAGCUUUCAGGCCAUGUAGAAGUUGGGCCUUUGGGGCCUGUGUAAAUCGAACCCAACCCAGAGAGAGACAGGCCUUUGGGCCAUCCAACUUGGGCCUCCAGCUCGGUAGUCUUAAUCCCAACUCGAACCCAUGAACCAUUGAUCGACUCGGACCCGUUAACCGUUGACUGGUUCGACCGUUAACUUAGUCAACAUUGAUCGUUGACUUUGACUUUGGUUUGUUGACUUUUUCUGGUUUUGUUCAGAAACCUUCUAGGCUAAUUUCGACGUCCUAGAACCGUUUUUUAUGUCCGUUUUCCCAAAUUCAAUUGUUUGAAUAUAGUUUUAUUAAUUGGACCAUUUAUGUGCUUAGGGGCAAUUAUUUGUGGUGUUUCCAUCUUAACUAGUUUGCGUGGCUCUUCGGCAGCGAGGUAUCUGUGAUUGGACCCUUUCUAAAAUGCAUGUUUUAAUAGUAGAAAUGCAUACAUGAAAAAUAUGAUUUAAUGAUUAAGUUUUAUGAAAUGUUUUAUGAGAUAUUAUCUUACUGAGAAUAUAUUGAAUUAUCAUAUUUUAUCGAACUAAUGUUCUUUGUAGUAUAUAUGAUGGAUGACUAUAUACUGCUUACGAACAUGCUUUUACACACUUUUUUAUAGUAUAUAUGAUGGAUGACUAUAUGCUAUGAAGAUGAUUUUGAGAUAUAUGUAUUUAUAUUUUGGGAAAUACUAUACUCAAUGUUUUUGUGUGUAUCUAGUGGUCACUGUUCUACCUACGGGCAAUGAUACUUAUAUUGGCUUCGGCUGGGCGUAAGUUGGUGCCUGUUUGGCAAAUGUAGUGUUCUGAAGGAAAUGUUCUAAAUGAGGAGUUCUCUAUGCCUUCGGGCGAUAUUGAUACCACUAGUUAGCACAUUAUAUACGUGAUAUUUAAGGUUUUAUGGCAUGCUAGGGUUUCAGAAACCUAUUACAUAUUAUAUUAUUGAAUUUCCAUAAACCUUUAGGGGUUAGUAUGUUGAUAAUUAUUUCAUUCUUAUAUGUAUAUCAACUUGGUCCGCUCUUGUUUGUUUUGCACCCCCUCAGGACUUAGAUUUGAGGUGUAAAAUCCCGGCAUCAAGGCACUUCCGCAUCGGCAUCUUCAAGUCUUCUUGGUGUAGGACCCAUUCCUUCAUUCAUUUAAUUUUAUAUUAUUUCGUUGGUUUUUACAUUAAAGUGACGUGAAUUAGAAAUCUCAUUAAGAGGAAGUCUGGUUAAGACCAGCUGAAGAUCCGAAAUGACGAUGCCACUUUGUAACAUGUGUUUCCCUAGGAAUUGGGAGCAGAGUCGGAUCUUCAUCGGAAUGUUGGGAAAUGAAAAAAUCUUAGUGGUACGAGUUGGUUAAGACCAACUGGAAAUCUAAGCGGUGUUGGACUCUGCGACAUGUGUACCCUAGGAAUGGCGGGCAGAGUCAUAUCCUUAUGGAAAUUACUUGAAAGUUCGUGUUAGAGAAAAUGAGUAAACGCUAGUUGUUACGAAGUUUAGUAAAUGGUAGUUUGGUGGGAUUGAAUCAAUGUUCUUGGACUCGUUUCCACUGAGAAAAUUCUUGUGGAUCUUUAGAACAAUUCUCGGUGAUUGUUCUAUCAAUAACUUUCUUGCUUACUCCAAUAGCGAAGUCAAGUCCCCUAACCUUUGACUGUCAACUUCACAUCAAAUUAUUCGAACGUUGUUUUUUACUAGAGUAUAGAAAUGUCAACUGCACUAUUGUGUACCACCUCGAUUGUGCAAGCGUAGUUGCUGAAUACCUCGGUAGAAAAAACACACAAAGCUCAAAGGGGAUAUAGGUUGAAUGUUUUGGCUUCCUAAUAAUGAGGCAUGGUAGAUCAGCAGAGUAAUGCAAUUGCAUAUUGCGAUGAUUAACCAAAUAAUCAUAAACAGUGACUUCUAUUUUUGCAUCUUCACUUUCCUUGGUUAUUUGUUCCUCAAUGUAAAACUAGAUCAUACUGUCGUACUGAUGUUUUUUACUACCCUUCCCGCCAAGCCCAUUCUGAUCAUGUAAACCUAAUCGAACAAUUAUCUAGUAAGACCGUAUUGGAUUAGAAAACCUGAAAAGCCAAAUCUACUAAAAUCAUAUAAAUUUGUCAGGAGGUUCAAAACAUCAAAUUAUUUCACGAGUUGCUGGACGAAGUUGAUUGACAAGUUAUAUUAAUAGGUGUGUUUUUGUGGAUGCGUACGCCCAGUUUCAUAUCGAUUCAGACAGGAAUGUUAGGAGUGUAACCUUUUCACAAGCUUACCAGAAUUACCGGAAAGACUUCCAUGUAGAUGUGAGCUUUGAGUCGUCUUUUAGUAAGAGAAUGAUGAAGAUUAUAGCGCAGGUGGUCAGCGAAUUGCAUCAUCAAUCAUUAUCUUCACGCAUAAAUGAAUAGUCACCACUCAUUAUUUUGCUGCAAUUCAUGAACAUCAUAUCGUACUUUAGUAGUUCUUUCCCAAUGAUAUGAUGCCUAUGAAUUGUAGCAAGAUAAGGAGAUGUGUGCGCUUCAACGCAUCUUUCCAAUGUUUCACUCCAAGACCUUAUUGUUCUUGAGUACGUGGAUGUCAAAACACUUUUAGUAGAUUUGAUUGGUGCGCUCUGGAAUGGUACCACAUCACGGUCAAGGCGAGAAUCAAAUGAUCUUUUCACACUCUCAUGUUGCUGAGCAAAAUGGUAUUUUGGCACUUUUGGCGACAUGGUACGAGAACUUUUACAGGCAACACCUGUUGACAAAGGGAUUUUUGCGAACUUGUAUCUGGAGGAUCGAAUUUAUGAUGUGAGAAAUUAUGCACCCUUAAGAAAUCACUGCUUGCUUACUGAGACAAUAAUGGGUGGUUGAUAUCGUGGGGAGCUGACUGUGAUAUCGAUAGCUUAUUCGUUGGAUCCGUUAAGCAUGUGGGCAGGUAGACCCAUCUACGGUAGAUAUUACUGAGUAGUCAUCGUUGGGGCUCGACCCAAAGACAAUUUUUCUCGUGGUACAUGACGUUACAUAUACGUGGGUGAAACCCACUUUCAUUUUCGGUUUUGGUUUUUAGUACAAGUAUUUUAACUUACAUAUUAUAGUUGUACGUGUUUUCUGAAGUUAAACAAAAAUUGGUCGAGUUAUUUCCACUUUCACUGUUGAGUUCAAUACGAAUUAUUCGACCUCUAUGUUAUUACUUAUCUAUUUUGACGUUAUCAUAUUUUGCAUACUUAUUUUUGAUGUUUUCGACUUUAUAUCUUUAUAAAGUAUGUUUUCUACUUUUACACUGAUGGGGAAAGAAAGUAUGAGCCUGGAGGCACGAAAGAUGGAAUCAUUGCAACCUGAUCACGAUGGUGUGGCAUUUUCCCUUUUCUACAACUGCUCUGACUUGAUUUCUUCUAUACAUAUAUAUUUUCUUCUCCCUAUUUUCAAGUUUUUUAGUGUAGCAAGUUAUUUUAAAUUUCGUGACAAAAUUUUAUUUAAUGGGGGUAGAUUAUGACAACCCGUCUCAAUUUAUUUUGUGAGUUUUACGGAACGGAAGGUUAGUCUCGUAAUUUCACUUUGGUUUUAAAAAUGUGUUUGAAAGAGGUUUGUUUUGGACCUUAAAUGGUGUGACCAAUGGGGACCACCCUUAAUUUUCUGUCCCCGGUUCCCUUCUUCCCCACUUGCCACUUGGCAGAUCCCUACCCAUUUCCUUUAUCUUCUCCUCGAGCACUCACUCUCUCAGCUCUCUAUCACUCUCUCUCACACACUCACCCUCUAUCCCUCAGACUAUUUCCCUCACCCUAAUUCACUCACACAUCAACACACCCAAAUCAAGGAAAGCAACGACGACGGCGACACCACCACAUCUACCAUGGUAGCAUUAUCCCUCUCCCUCGUCUCUGUGAAGAAACGGGACACCUAGAGGGCACCCAAACCCAGACUCCAGCGAACCCAAUUGUUUUGAGCAAGGAAUUGGCCACCUCCGACUAUUCCACGAUGAUUAAGAGGUAACAAUUUUUUCCCUUUCGUCUCUAUUUCAUUUUGGUACCUAGAUCGAGUCUUAGGUGUAAGCAACAAUGUCGACCGAAGCUUGGGAAGCUCCGGCCUCCUUCCCUAGCAAGAACAGGUAGCCAAGGCCCUUGGGCCGAGGAAUCUAAGGCCUUUGGCUUGCUAAACCCUUAGCCCAUGACCAAAGGGUUUCGGCUCGUGAGCUUUAAACCUAAACCCUUUUUAUUUUUAUUUAUUUUGUUUUCUUUUAAAAAUCCAAAAACAAUCGGGUCAUGCUUCAAGCCCAGCCCAAUUGAAAACCCUUUAAUCCUUUCGAACCUAGGCCUUAGGGUCGUGUGGGAUUUGGACUUUGAGCCUUUGCAUCAGAGCCCAAACCCUUGUAGCCCCAAACCCUUUAAAGCAGGCUUUUGGGUCGUGUGGAAGUUGGGCCUUUAGGGCACGUGUAAAUCAAACCCAACCCAAAGAGAGGCAGGCCCUUGGGCCUCCGACCCGGUAGCCUGAAGCCCAACCCGGUUCGACCCGAAAUCGUUGACAGACCCGGACCCGUUGACUGUUGACUUUGACUUUGACCGGUCAAAGUGGACUUUUUGUUGACUUUUUCGGGUUUUGUUUAGGAACCCUCCUAGGUUAAUUUCGACAUCCUGGAUCCAUUUUUGACAUUUGUUUUCCCAAAUUCAAUCGUUUGAAUAGAGUUUUAUUAAUUGGACCCUUUAUGUGCUUAGGGGUAAUUAUUUGUGGUGUUUUUGUCUUCUUUAGUUUGCGUGGCUUUUCGACGGUGAAGUAUCUGUGAGUGGACCCCUUUUUAAAAUGAAUGUUUUAAUAGUAGAAAUGCACACAUGACAAGCAUGAUUUAAUGAUUCAUUUUAUGAAACGUUUUAUGAGAUAUUAUGCUUACUAAGAAUAUUUUGAAUUAUCAUAUUUUAUCGAACUGAUGUUCUUUGUAGUAUAUAUGAUGGAUGACUGUAUACUGCUUACGAACAUGCUUUUACACACUUCUUUAUAGUAUAUAUGAUGGAUGACUAUAUGCUAUGAAGAUGAUUUUGAGAUAUAUGUACUUAUAUUUGGGGAAAGACUAUAUUCAAUGUUUUUGUGCGUAUCUAGUGGUCACUGUUUUGCCUACGCUCAUCUUUCUCCUUUUACCAUACUUUAAACAUACAAACUCCAUAGUCGCUGCCCUUCCUCCUACUGGAGGCCGGUGGCAAUCCCUCUCCCCAUUUUGCUAGCCUCCCUCUUUUAUCUUCUCAUAGAUUGUGACUUAUCUAUUUUUUGUCUAAGUAUUUUUGUCAAUAAAUAUCUCCUUGUUGAGAUUUUUUCAGUCCUUCUUCAUGAUUAUUUUAAUUUUGUGUUCGUAUGUUAUUGGCUUCUUCUGUGCAACUUUGUUGAAAUUGGUUCAUUGAUUGUGUUGCACACAAAAUUAGCUUUUAAUCUGCUAUAAGGUGUUCGUCUAAAAGUGAUAUUUUUUUUUUUUAAAGAUUUGAAUGAAUUUUUAACUAAUUAUAAACAAUAUAUGAUACUUUUCAAAAUUUUAAUAGAAGUCGAAAUCUAUAUAAGGAAAUUAACUAUAAGCACCGUCUUAUUUGGCAGCUCGGACUGUACUGACUAUUUCUAUUAGAUAUGAUAAAUAGCCACCAGAUAGUACUGAGUAAAUUAGUCGAGUGUUUGGUGUAGUAUCAGACUAAUAACCGUAUUAUUUAUACUGUGUUUGAUUUUAUACCGGAUAGGAGGAAUCAAACUUAAAAAAAAAAAAAUUAAACUUAAAAAACAAAACAGAAACCAUCACUUUUGUUCCCAGAUCUCUCCGCCGCACCCCUCAAACUCCCUCAAUCUCUCUCCCUUCUUCUUCUUCCCCGACUACAGAAGAAUCCCAAAUAAUUGUUCCCCAAAUCUCUUUGUCGCACCCCCCCCAAACUCCCUCCCUCUCUCUCCUUUCUUCUUCCCCGAUUGCAGAAGAAUCCCAAAUAAAUUCAAACAGCCAGUUGCGGAAGAAUCCCAAAUUGAAAUCAUCUCUCCGCCGCACCAUGUUUCUUUGCAAGACCCAGUUGCAGGGGAGAACAACGAGUAGGCAAUGAGGAAGGCCACAAGGAGACGAGGACUAGGAGAGCAAAGAUGGCGAGAGAAAGUGACGGCGACAGAAAACAACGGUGAGAGAAAGCGACGGGGAGGACGGCGAUGGUGAAAGAAGGUGACGGGGAGGACGAUGACGCCGAGAGAAGGAGAGAGAGAGAGAAGGCCAACUAAUAAUCCGAGCAUUUUGGUUGGUUUUAUUAAUCCGACGUAUACUGUGUUAAAUAAACAGACCAGUUAAAUUAAUCUGGCGCUUAUUUAGUACGAGUGAACGCCAAACACCCACGUCUGUAUAACUAGUCCUAUUCGAUCCUUUAUCCGAUCUGCCAAACAGGGCCUUAGUGGCAGAAUAUAUAGAUGCAACAUCUAUUGAGACCACACCAGCAGUAGGGGACAAAAAAAAAACAAUGUUAGCAGCUCGUGCAGCUUUGAGAAGAGGAUGAAAGUUGGCACAAGAGGUAAGCAGAUUCAAGAUUGGUUAUGAAUGAGUAAUCCUCAGCAGUGUACUCUAGAGUUGCUUUCGGUAUGACAAUCCCCACGUUGUUUAUAUAUAACAAGACAUUAUUGAAAAGGUUUAGCAUAACAUAACGAUUUUACCUUAUAUGUAUUAUUGAAAAAUGCAAGAAAAUUAUGUGUAUUAAACAUAAAAAGUACAUACAUACGUGUAGAUCUUUGAGUUUUAAAAAACAUACAAUUUUACGAAUUAAUGAAAUUUGAAACGUGUACAACAAACAAAUUUAUUUACGAGGGGAUGUUAAGUUUGUUAUGGAAGUGUGAUGAUGAUUCGUGAUUCAUGCACAUAUGUUAUUUUAACUAAUUAGUCUUCUACCUACAAGGAUGUUGAGUUUGCCAUCAGAAAGUGAUGAGACCUUGUUUAUAAGCUCCUCUCUUUGGGUUUUUGACUUGAAGACAGAUCCGGCCUCGGGAGUUGCGAUGGACCUUGUUUAUAAGCUCAUCUCUUGGCUGAAUGGAAGUAUUGACCAAGGCAACUGGGAGGUUUUCCAGACCAAGUGGGAGAUUUGUUGAGAAGGUGCGGAUUUCAGUUUGUGUGAAUGGUCUUGGGUACCGAGAUCAGCCAAUAGAGCGGCGGAUUUUGUGGUGUCGCAUGUUGGAGCGGAGAUAUGCGACUUAGUCUGGGUUCAACGACCCCCAUCUUCGUUUAUUCGGAAUCUGAACAAGGAUGGUCUACCCUGCCCUCCAACUUAGCUUUUGUUAGAUGUGAUUAAGGUGACAUUGGGGGGGGGGGGGGGGUGCAUACGUGUCGUAGUUUUUCCCUUAGUCCCGUUUAUUUCUGAUGUUGUUUGCCCAAGGUGGCUUUCUGUACUCCUAUUUGGCUUUGGCCCUAGUGAAUGAUAUUUUCCGAUUAUUCAAAAAAAAAAAAAAAAACACACUAUGCAAAUUGAUUGUCCAAUUUGAAUUUGACUAAAUUAUAUUUCAUCCAUUUUCAACAUCGUACAAUGUCUUUCUAUUUCGUACAACUUCUUAUUCAAUCAUUACACGAUGGUCCAGUAGUUUAGGACGAAUUCUAAACUCGUAUUCGAUAAAACUCGUUCUGAAUUUGAUUCAUAACACUGGUGAAUCAUACACUAUAAUUUUGGAGCUAGAAAACAAAUGGAAAGUAUUAGAGAGUGGGAGAGAACUUUGUGUUUACAGUACCACGUCCAGAAUGAGAUCGAUGUCAUUUUGGUUAAUUUUUUAGCAAAUACUACAUUUUCUUAAUGCAAUCUUGUUAAUGGUAACAUAAUGAGUUUAAUGCUCACAAGAUCUCAAAAAUUGCAUAGCAUGUUAUUCUUCCACAAACAGUUCAAGUACUUUUUAAACCAAACACAUUUUAAACUAUUUUUAAUUAACAUUGUCAUGUUUGCAAGCGCUUUAGUUAUUUAAAAGCAUUUUGAAUUGGAAACGGGCCCUACAACAAGCUAGACAUAUGAAGUUUUGAGAAUACUUGAUGAGCAAGUUGUCCAAACCACAUUUAUGUAAUCUUUGGAGGGUUCAGUUGAUGGUGCUUAAAGCGUUUUUCUGACAUCUCUCAUCUAAGUUCACCUCACAACUUAAAAUAAUUAUUUUUUAAUUUUUAAUUGCAUGAAAAGAAAAAAAAAGGGACAUAUUAUUACAUGAAACAUAAUAAGAUUCCUAUCUUAAUUUUUUUUCUAAGAACAAAAAAAAAACCUUGUAUCGUUGACCAUUGAUAGAGACAUGCCGUCCAGUAAUCCAGAAAAUUAAUUUUAUGGAAAACUAAUGAAAAUAGCUUGAAAACUUUGAGUUUUAAAGAUAAGGACAAAAUAAAGAAAAAAGUGAAUAGUACAAGGAUUGACUUUUUAAUGUAAAAAUAUGAUUUUUCGUUAAAGUGAAUAGUACCACUGGCUUUUCAUUAAAACUCCCUUAAUUUUAUGAUCGGCUUUGUAAGGAAAGCGAGGAUGUGCGAUGCUUCUUGAGGAGUUUUGUUGUUUGUCAAUAAAAUCUAUUUAUUUGAAUUUCCUGCUUCUAGUACUACCUACUGCUUGAAGUUUGAACAUAUUAUAGAAGCAUUUUUUAUUGUUCUAAUCGUACAUGUAGAUCAUUUCCAAUGAACUGGCAAUCUUGGUGUGUUGUUUGAAGGAUGUUGGAGUCUUCUCUUCAUCCCGUUUUGGGGUUGUCUUCGGCCGAUCUCAGGCAUCUAUUGAGGGCGAUGGUUUGAGAUGGUGGGUUGGUGGCGUUUUGGCAGUGGUGGAGUAGCAAGUUGCUAGGAUUUGUUGCGGUUUUUUCUUUUGUGGUGAGCUCAAACCUUUGUUUUGGGCCAUUUUUGCGUUACUCUGAAGGUCUACAUCCACGCUGUGUGCUUAAUGUAAUUGGAUCUCUUUCUUUGUAAUUUUGUUGUCUUGGCAAAAAUUUUACCCUAAAAAAAAUCUAGGCUUGAAAGCUCUUCCAAUAUAGCGAAACUAAACGUCAAUAGACCAAAUGUUUGACAAUCUUUUAUUUUCUGAUUUAAUUAGAACAUUAAUGAUGUCACCAGUUUUCACAUACAAUAAAAGCACACCACUUUGGAAUUACUAGAUACGAGAUUUUUUUUUUUAGAACUGUUUCCAAGUUAUGCUCCUUGGAAGAGCAAGCCAUUGACAGUCACCCCGCCGUCGACGAUAAUAGUUUGCCCAGUAAUGUAAGAGGCUGCAGGUAGGCAUAGAAAUGCUACCACGGAAGACACCUCCUCUGGCUCUCCAGGACGUCCUAAGGGGCACCGAGAGUUUAUCAUCUCCAAUUUCUUUUCAUCUCGGAGAAACUGCGUGCAUAGAAGAGAUAAUGGAUGAAACGAGAAUGAAUGUGUAGGACACAUAUAUUACCGAUGAUCUUAAUAAUUGGUCAAGCUCUUCGUAAACAAAUUAAUUAAGACUAGAAGUAUGAUGUAAACUUGCUGUCAACUUUUCACCAAAAAUCUUGCUGUAAACAAGUCAGGUCUAAAAUUGAACCUAUACUUGAAUAAACAAAAGACAUGGACUUUUGGCAAACCCCAACUUUUUAUUCUAAUUUUGCCUAUGGACUUUUGGCAGUCUCAUCAAUGAAAUACUGAUUGGCUUAAAGUUAUGAGAUGAUUGUAAUACAAGUAGUUAAAAGAAUUCACUCAUAUAUCUUAAAUUCAAUUUCGAUUUUCCUUCCAGAACAUCGAUUGUAUUAGAAAAAAUGAAAAUAAACAGCAUGCACAAGAACGUGACCAGGAUAAUCUUACAGGUUCAACGAGGGGAGUCGUGAUGAACCAAGGUGCCACACUGUUGGUCCUUAUGUUAUCUUUCGCCCACUCACAUGCCAAGUUUUUUGCUAACUGAUUCAUUGCACCUGAUGAGAUACAAUAAGGAAAAGCCACACUUUUGUCAAACAUUAAAAAUCACACACCAAACAAUGUAAUCAAAUUUUAGGGGUUUCUCGUCUCAACCUCUUAUGGUUUAAAAAAAAUAAAAAAAAAUAAAAAAAAAACUAGCUGCUCCUCUUUCUCCUCUUACCAAACCCUAAAUCUUCAAACUUCAUAGUCGCCAGCCUCUUGCUCCGACUGGAGGCAGUGGCAAGCCCUCUGCUCAUUUUUCUAGCCUGUCUCCUUCAUCUUCUUAUCGAUUGUUGCUUAUUUAUUUUUCAUCUUAGCAUUUUUGUCGAUAAGUGUCUCCUUGGUGAGGUUUUUUGUGAGUAUUUCUUCGUGAGUGUAUUAAUUUUGUAUUGGUGUGUUAUCGGCUCCUUUUGUGUCUACUUUGUUAACACGAAAUUCAUGUUGUGCACAAAAUUAGCUUUUAAUCUUAUAUAAGGUAUUAGUCUAAAAGUGAUAAGGAUUUGAAUGAAGUUUUUUUUUACAAAUAAUAAACAAAAUAUGUUUUAUUUUAUUUUAUUUUAUUUUAUAAAGGUCAAAAUUACAUAGGGAAAUUAACUAAGCACCUUUAGUGGCAGAAUAUAUAGAUCCAACACCUGCUGAGACCACACCAGCAAUAGAGGACAAAAAAACGAUGUUAGCAACUCCUGAAGCUUUGAGAAGUGGAUGUGUAAGUUGGCACAAGUUGUAAGCAGAUUCAAGAUUGGUCUCAUUAUGAAUGAGUAAUCUUCAGCUGUGUACUCCAGCGUUGCUUUCGGUACGACAGUCCCCACAUUGUUUAUCUAUAACAAGACAUUAUUGGAAAGGUUUAGCAUAAUAUAACAAUUUUAGCUUAUAUGUAUUAUUAAAAAAUGCACGAAACGUGUACAUCUUUGAGUUUUAACAAACCUACAAUUUUACGAAUUAUUGAAACGUCUACAACAAAAAGAAAUAUUUACGAGGAUCUUAAGUUUGCCAUGAAAGAGUAAUGAUGAUUAAUGAUUCAUGCAUAUGUGUUAUUUCAAUUGAUCAGUCAUUUACUUACAAAAAUGUUAAGUUUGCCAUCAAAGAGUGAUGAGACCUUGUUUAUAAGCUCCUCUCUUUGGGUUUUAGACACCACAUCACAGACUGAGCCAGUGACUUGAAAACCCUUCUUCUCCCACUGACUCAGGCAGUCAUUAAGGUCAACUUCAUUUCGGGAACAAGUAUGCACAAUCGCACCCAGCCCUGCCAAUUCCUCCACUAUCGCAUACCUAAAUAAAUACUAAACUAAUUUAACAAACAGCAGUAAAAAAAUAAUUCAAACCCAUAAUUCUAAAAGAGAAGAAAACAUGGGAUAAGUGGAGAAAUAAAAUGAAUAUUGCAUUGCAUGUAUAGGAAAAUUGAAACUAAAAGAAGAUUAAUGUUCUUGAG
rnacentral:lncRNA from 1 species